CUCACAUUUGCUGUUGGAUGCACAGCUGACACGGGAGACAUUCCAUUCGAUGGAACUAGCAACCCUUUAGUAAUUUUGUAGGAAAUCCAGGAAGGAAAGUCAGGAAGGGACUGUUUGGGCACUAAAAUCCAAAGAAUGGAAGGACCUGACAGAAGCUGCAAGAUGAACAACGAAUGCAAGAACGGCCUGGACAACAUGGAAGAAAUCCCUCUGGAGGACACAGACAGAACCAGCGUGGAAUUCAGACUGCUGAUGGUCUAUGCACAGCGGCGACUGUCUGCAAGCAAAUAUGGGCAAUUACUCGAAAGAGAACCCAGAGUCCAGGAAGAAAUGAGAGAGGUGGUACAAGUCAACACUCUAACCAAGGAAGAAGAAGUCACCUUUCCAGAAAUUUCUCCAGAAGAUCAUAAACCACCAAACCAGAAGGACCAGAAGAAGAUGAAGAAGAAGAAGAAGAAGGCAAAGAAGACAAAGACAAGAACCAGCUGGAGAUGCUUUUGUAUUCCUUCUUGCCUAAGGCCACAAGCAAAAGACACCAGGAACCAAAGAGUAGCACGAAAGCAGGACUCCAUCAAUGGCCAUGCCAUGAAGCCAGUCUCCAGACUUGGGGGUUUAUCAGGUGGGCAAAAUGACUCGGACAUCCCUCGUUUGGCAGAGAGACUUGUUGAGAUAGUGGAUCGUUCCAGAUUUCCUGGUGGGAAGAAGAGCACUGUGGUAGUGGAACGUGCAUUGAGUCUAGAAGAAGACGGUGGCUCAGCCAGCAAGCCAAUCCCACCAGCUGGGGAUGAUGGAUUAGACAACGAAGAAAAGGUUAUUGAUGCAAUAGUUGCCUUGUUGCGGAAAUCAGGAGAUGAACUGGAGGAAAAGACGAAGAAGGAUAAGAUCUUCCGUCAAUGCAUCAGAGACAUGAUGACCUACACCUUCUUCAGGAGAGUGACGGACCAGUUCCUUGAGGAGAUACCCAUAGACUCCACUGCCCGUUCGGAAGAUGAACUUAAGAGCGUCAAAGUUGCGUUGAUUAUGGAAGCCACCACCAGGCUCACUGCGAUCGACAACCACCCCAUGAAUCUCGUGCUAGGCUUUGGAACAAAAUAUCUGCAGGAAAACUUCAGCCCCUGGGUCCAAAGCCAAGGGGGAUGGGUAAAAGCCUUAGGAUUACCAGAGCAGGAAGAAGUUGAAUGAGGAAACGAGAUCUUCUUCUUCUUCAAGAGUGCUGGUUAACAUGGAGAAAGUGAUUGGGAGUUAAGCAGGCAAUUCACCGUUGCUUCUUCAGUCUGUAUGAGCGCUUCAGGAAAAGAGAAGCGGUUGCCUUCAGCCAGGAGUGGGAAGACGAACGUUGGGCUGCCAGGAAUUCCUUUUCCUGAAGGACGGUAUCCCAAAAAGACAAGAUGGCGGCUACAUCUUGACUUUAUGUGACCUGCUUGCCUUUCCCCCUGGGGGCCCUGUCAGUGUUGCUCAUAAACUGCUGCUUUGGCUUAACUGUCUUUCGAUGCUGGCUUUUUUCGUUGAACAGAUCUCCCGCUGCCUUUUCUUGGGAGGUUUGCUACAAGUGUAAAUAGAAAACGACACAAUGACUUUGGCCCAAGAAGGUGUAUUUAGGGAUGACAGACCUGAAUCUGGAUCUGAAAGUGAUUAAUCCUAAGAGACCAAAUUAGCUUAAGUCACGACAAUUGAUUCAGAUGUACAUAAUUAAUAGAACAAUAAAACAAGUGACGCCCACCCA